rnacentral:rRNA from 1 species
UACGGAGGGUGCAAGCGUUGCUCGGAAUUAUUGGGCGUAAAGGGUAGGUAGGUGGUCUUAUUUGUCUAGGGUGAAAGCCUCGGGCUCAACCCGAGAAGUGCCUUAGAAACGGUAAGACUAGAGUCCUGGAGAGGGUCGUGGAAUUCCCGGUGUAGCGGUGAAAUGCGUAGAGAUGUGGAGGAACACCGAUGGCGAAGGCAGCCCCCUGGGUCAAGAUUGACGCUCGAUGCACGAAAGCGUGGGGAGCAAACAGG